rnacentral:rRNA from 1 species
CCCCGCUCAGGAUGAACGCUGGCGGCGUGCCUAAUACAUGCAGUCGAGCGAAUGGAUUGAGAGCUUGCUCUCAAGAAGUUAGCGGCGGACGGGUGAGUAACACGUGGGUAACCUGCCCAUAAGACUGGGAUAACUCCGGGAAACCGGGGCUAAUACCGGAUAACAUUUUGAACUGCAUGGUUCGAAAUUGAAAGGCGGCUUCGGCUGUCACUUAUGGAUGGACCCGCGUCGCAUUAGCUAGUUGGUGAGGUAACGGCUCACCAAGGCAACGAUGCGUAGCCGACCUGAGAGGGUGAUCGGCCACACUGGGACUGAGACACGGCCCAGACUCCUACGGGAGGCAGCAGUAGGGAAUCUUCCGCAAUGGACGAAAGUCUGACGGAGCAACGCCGCGUGAGUGAUGAAGGCUUUCGGGUCGUAAAACUCUGUUGUUAGGGAAGAACAAGUGCUAGUUGAAUAAGCUGGCACCUUGACGGUACCUAACCAGAAAGCCACGGCUAACUACGUGCCAGCAGCCGCGGUAAUACGUAGGUGGCAAGCGUUAUCCGGAAUUAUUGGGCGUAAAGCGCGCGCAGGUGGUUUCUUAAGUCUGAUGUGAAAGCCCACGGCUCAACCGUGGAGGGUCAUUGGAAACUGGGAGACUUGAGUGCAGAAGAGGAAAGUGGAAUUCCAUGUGUAGCGGUGAAAUGCGUAGAGAUAUGGAGGAACACCAGUGGCGAAGGCGACUUUCUGGUCUGUAACUGACACUGAGGCGCGAAAGCGUGGGGAGCAAACAGGAUUAGAUACCCU